rnacentral:tRNA from 1 species
GCGGAUGUAGCUCAGGGGGAGAGCGCCGGAUUUGGGUCCGGAGGUCGCAGGUUCGAAUCCUGCCUUCUGCACCA